UACGUAGGGUGCGAGCGUUAAUCGGAAUUACUGGGCGUAAAGCGUGCGCAGGCGGUGAGCUGUGUCCGAUGUGAAAGCCCCGGGCUUAACCUGGGAAUGGCAUUGGAAACUGGCUCGCUGGAGUGUGGCAGAGGGGGGUGGAAUUCCCGGUGUAGCGGUGAAAUGCGUAGAGAUCGGGAGGAACACCCGUGGCGAAGGCGGCCAUCUGGACCAGCACUGACGCUGAGGCACGAAAGCGUGGGGAGCAAACAGG
rnacentral:rRNA from 1 species